GAGAUGUGUGAUGACGCAUAUCAAUAAGCGGAGGAAAAAGAAAACUAACUAAGGAUUCCCUCAGUAAACGGCGAGUGAAGCGGGAAGAGCUCAAAUUUGAAAAUCUUCAAGGUUUUUACCUUGACGAAUUGUAGUUUUAAAGAAGUGUUUUUUCUGUUGAAGUUUUUGGUAAAAAGUUUCUUUGGAAUAGGACAUCAUAGAGGGUGAGAAUCCCGUAUUUUGACCAGUUACUUUUCCAGCUGUUGUUGAUACACUUUCAAAGAGUCGGAUUGUUUUGGGAAUGCAGUCCAAAAAUGGGUGGUAAAAUUUCAUCUAAAGCUAAAUAUUGGCGAGAGACCGAUAGCGAAACAAGUACCGUGAGGGAAAGAUGAAAAAGAAACUUUGAAAAGAGAGUUAAAACAGUACGUGAAAAUUGUCAAAAGGGAAGCGUUUUGACACCAGCUGUUGUUUUUUCUCGAAAAUCAAUUAAAAAGUAUGGAUUUUUGUAUUGUUUGAGAAGUUAUCAGCUUCAUCGGCUUACUUUCUCUCUUUAUUACUUUUCUUAAUGCACUUUUUCGUUUAAACAAGUCAACAUCAAUUUUCUUUUUGCUGCAAAAAGGGUAAUAGGAAGGUGGCUUUCAGCUUCGGUUGAAAGUGUUUUAUAGCCUUUUGACCUCUGCAAGUCGGAGAGAUUGAGGUCUGCAGCGUAGAUCCUUCGGGGUUAGAUACAGUUAGAUGCUAAGUUAUAGCUUUUUUCAUAGACAACUUGUUGACUAUGAUUUAAUCCAUUGUAGCUUACUCGCUUUGCGCUAUUUUUACCUACGCUUAGGAUGUUGAGUCGUAGAGCACGCAG
rnacentral:rRNA from 1 species